rnacentral:misc_RNA from 1 species
UUUCCGUAGGUGAACCUGCGGAAGGAUCAUUACAGAGUUCAUGCCCUCACGGGUAGAUCUACCACCCUUGAAUAUUUAUACCUUAGUUGCUUUGGCAGGCCGUGGAAACACCAUGGGCUCCGGCUUAUGCGUGCCUACCAGAGGAAACAAACUCUGUUCUUAGUGAUGUCAGAGUACUAUAUAAUAGUUAAAACUUUCAACAACGGAUCUCUUGGUUCUG